CAGGGAUUGCCUUAGUAACGGCGAGUGAAGCGGCAACAGCUCAAAUUUGAAAUCUGGCCCUUGGGUCCGAAUUGUAAUUUGUAGAGGAUGAUUUUGGUGCGGUAUCUUCCGAGUUCCUUGGAACAGGACGCCUUAGAGGGUGAGAGCCCCGUACGGUUGAAUGCCUAGCCUCUGUAAAUCUCCUUCGACGAGUCGAGUAGUUUGGGAAUGCUGCUCUAAAUGGGAGGUAAAUUUCUUCUAAAGCUAAAUAUUGGCCAGAGACCGAUAGCGCACAAGUAGAGUGAUCGAAAGAUGAAAAGCACUUUGAAAAGAGGGUUAAAUAGCACGUGAAAUUGUUGAAAGGGAAGGAUUUGUGACCAGACUUUUUCUGGGCGGAUCAUCCGGGGUUCUCUCCGGUGCACUUCGCCCAGUAAAGGCCAGCAUCGGUUUUCGGCGUGGGAUAAAAGCAGUAGGAAUGUGGCUCUCUACGGGGAGUGUUAUAGCCUAUUGUAUAAUACCGCGCUGGGGACCGAGGUUCGCGCUUCUGCAAGGAUGCUGGCGUAAUGGUUAUCAAUCACCCGUCUUGAAACACGGACCAAGGAGUCGAACAUUUGUGCGAGUGUUUGGGUGUUAAACCCUCACGCGUAAUGAAAGUGAACGGAGGUGAGAGCCCUUACGGGUGCAUCAUCGACCGAUCCUGAAGUUUUCGGAUGGAUUUGAGUAAGAGCAUAACUGUUCGGACCCGAAAGAUGGUGAACUAUGCGUGGAUAGGGUGAAGCCAGAGGAAACUCUGGUGGAGGCUCGCAGCGGUUCUGACGUGCAAAUCGAUCGUCAAAUCUGCGCAUGGGGGCGAAAGACUAAUCGAACCAUCUAGUAGCUGGU
rnacentral:rRNA from 2 species